GAUGAACGCUGGCGGCGUGCCUAAUACAUGCAAGUCGAGCGAACAGACGAGGAGCUUGCUCCUCUGACGUUAGCGGCGGACGGGUGAGUAACACGUGGAUAACCUACCUAUAAGACUGGGAUAACUUCGGGAAACCGGAGCUAAUACCGGAUAAUAUAUUGAACCGCAUGGUUCAAUAGUGAAAGACGGUUUUGCUGUCACUUAUAGAUGGAUCCGCGCCGCAUUAGCUAGUUGGUAAGGUAACGGCUUACCAAGGCAACGAUGCGUAGCCGACCUGAGAGGGAGACGGCCCACACUGAACAUGAGACCCGGCCAAGACCCAGGCGGGGGGCCACAGGAGAAAAGCUGCCGCAAUGGGCAAGGUCCUAACGGAGCAACCCCGGGGAAGUAAUGAAGUUUUUAGUAUGAAAAAACUUUGUAAGUAGGAAAAACAAAAUGUGUAAUUAAAUGGGCACGCCUUGAGGGUACCUAAACAGAAAGCCACGACAACCUACGUG
rnacentral:rRNA from 1 species